UACGGAGGAUGCAAGCGUUAUCCGGAAUGAUUGGGCGUAAAGCGUCCGCAGGUGGCUAUGUAAGUCUGCUGUUAAAGAGUGAGGCUCAACCUCAUAAGAGCCGUGGAAACUACAUGGCUAGAGUGCGUUCGGGGCAGAGGGAAUUCCUGGUGUAGCGGUGAAAUGCGUAGAGAUCAGGAAGAACACCGGUGGCGAAAGCGCUCUGCUAGGCCGCAACUGACACUCAUGGACGAAAGCUAGGGGAGCGAAUGGG
rnacentral:rRNA from 1 species